rnacentral:rRNA from 1 species
UACGUAGGGUGCAAGCGUUGUCCGGAAUUAUUGGGCGUAAAGAGCUCGUAGGCGGUUUGUCGCGUCUGCUGUGAAAACUCGGGGCUUAACCCCGGGCCUGCAGUGGGUACGGGCAGACUAGAGUGCGGUAGGGGAGACUGGAAUUCCUGGUGUAGCGGUGAAAUGCGCAGAUAUCAGGAGGAACACCGGUGGCGAAGGCGGGUCUCUGGGCCGACACUGACGCUGAUGCGCGAAAGCCAGGGGAGCGAACGGG